rnacentral:ncRNA from 1 species
UUUCUCCGGAGAAGCCCGGGCAGAGCCCCGGGUGCCGAAGGUGCAACACUCGCGGGACAGCGUGUGAAUCUCUCAGGCAGAAGGACGGAUGGG